GCCAACCUGUCUGUAUUUCAAUGUAGAUCUUCAAACGAAAAAAUGGAAAAAGGAAUUUCAAAAAACCAAAAUCGGACCGUUAUUUGAUUUUGGUUUUGUCAUUUUUCGUUUUUGGAUUUAGAACCAAAAACGAGAGAACGGCUCUUUUUUUACUGUUUCUUUGAUUUUGGUUUGAAACGACAAACGAAAAACAGGAAAGAGAGGGCUGAAUUUGAAAAGAAGAGGAUGGAGGAAAUUGCAAAUUAGGAGGAGCUUGAAAGAGACGAACAUAAGAAACUGCAGCGUGAAAGGAAGCUUUUUGAAAAGCAUGCAGCAACUGUAAGAGCAAGACCUGACAAACAAGAACAAGAUGAGAUCCAGGCUCUAAAGCAGCAGUUGAAUGCAAACGAGAGGCUCCUUGGAUCAACACACAGCCGUCUCCGACAGCAGAUAGACAUUUUGAGUGCAGAGAAUGCAGCCCUCAGAGACCAAGUGCAGAUGCAGGAGAAACCACACCUCAGUGCGUGGAAGAGUGCUGAGAAAGAGAAGGAAAAAGGAAAGUGCUCUGUGUCUGGCAAAAGAACCAAUACUGGAUCCAAAUCUACAGAUUCCAGGGCAAGUGGAGUGGCAGGUCUGAAAAGUUUCUGCACCCUCCCCUUUAUACAGGGAUGGCAGUAAGGUGAUCCAGUUUAACCCAGGUCAGCGAGAGAUCCAGACUGCAGAUUUUAAAAGACCGGAGUAUCCAGACUGUACGGUUAAAACGGUUUACUCGAAUGGACGGCAAGAGACAAAAUACCCUACAGGACGUGUUAAGGUUAAAAGAUGCACAGGGUCAUGUCAUUAUGGACACCAAGGCAUGAACACUGUUUUAUUUUAAAUGAAAGGAAAAUUAACUGACUUAAAUGAAGUUGAGUGAAAUAAUGUUUGUACUGUGUAAAUGUGUAAAAAGUAAUUUCUGUAAAAAAUCUUUGCAUGUUGUUUAACAGUUAUGCAUGACAAGGUAAUACUUUUAAAUGGUAUUUUUAGAGUGAUAAAAAUGAGCUUGAUGCCAUUA